AGGGCAACGUCCUGAGAGUUUGAUUCUUCUCCAUGCCUACAUAUAUAUUUUUUCAUGAAGAGGGUGAUUGCUCGCCAAGUUUUGAGGAUGCACAUAGUUGUAAGAGUGAGGGUGAUUCCUCUCCAUUCAUAUACGUGUUCUUCUAAUAUUUACAUGAAAUGUUUUUAUAGCAUUUUUUGUAACAUUAUCUCUCAUUAGCAAUCUUGUUAUAUCCGCUUAACUUACCCCGGAAUUCUUGUAAGUGUUACAGAGGGAAUGUGUGGAGCUUAGAGGUUGCUCAAAAAUCUCUGUCAGGAAUUAUAUUAGAUUCUUGGUUCAUUCUUGUGUUCACGUUCUUGAUUCUGUGUGACAGUGUGUGCAAUCUUGCACUACACUGUUCUGACUUCAUUUGCAUUCGGUGGUGUUCUUCCUUAGAGGUCAAGGGAAGCAGGAGCAAUGUGUAUCUACUCGGCAUUGUUCAUGAGAUUUGCGUGGAUGUAAAGCCCCACAAUUAUCUACUUCUGACAUGCCAUGCCUCGAAUGAGACCGUCCAACUCUAUCAACUUUCUUGAUGGGGGUCAGGGGCUCUUGUCAGACAAGAAAGAGAGCUGCAUCUCAGUAACUUGCUGCCACCAUGUUUUCCAUACCUAUGCUCUUGCUUUUGGUUUGCGGUUUCUGCAGAACUCAUACUCAUUUGAAGCAAGUUGCAUUUAAUCUUUUCUGACAGUGUAAGCAUUAUUGAGCAAAUCACUAUUAAGUGAAUCUUUUGCCUAUUAUCUUUAUUUGUACUAUGAUGUUUUUAUCAUCGGAUGUGGAAAUUGAUGCUUAACUUACAAGUUUGAGCUCUAAAUGAGUGGAGUCCACUAUUAAAAAUUUAAUUUUUUCA